CAGUCGUACCGACGGAAAAUCAGCUCUUUGAGUGCGGACUUGUGGGCUUACGUGAGUUUUAACACCUCGCUGUUUGCAACGUUCGUGUUUUUUGGGUGUACUUUUUCGUAUGGUUGGCCAAUAUCAGUUUUGAUCGCUAUAAAAUGACCGGCGGAAUGUAGCUUCGAUCUCGUAUUGAAGUGUUAUAGCCUCUGGUAGAUGUGGUGAUCGGGACUGAGGAUUGCAACGAAUACCUUUUGGGCUAUCCGUCUGAUCUCUGAAGGUUGCUUAGGUGCCGAAAGCGUGCUUACGGUUAUUUAAGUUGACAGUCAAAAGGUUAGAACGUGAUUAUA
rnacentral:rRNA from 1 species